CUCCCAUGUCCCCUUGUGUCCCCCCAGGUUCCCUUGUGUCUCCCCAUGUCCCCCGUGCCCCCCCAUGUCCCCCCAUGUCCCCCCAGCCCCCCAGCCCCUCCUGACCCCCCGCUCUCCCCCAGGUGCAGGUGGCUCCCAGCCCCUCCCCGCCGGGGCCGCACUGGGGGCCGGGGGUUCUGGAUGGGGGCGCCACUUUGAGGCCGCCCAGCGAGGCCCCCCCCCGGCAGCUGCUGUCCCCGUUCCUGGUGACGCUGCUGGUGCCGCUGGCGGUGGCCGCGCUGCUGUCCCUGCUCCUGGGCCACCUCAUGUGCUGCCGCAGGGAGGGAGUGUGAGUCGGGGGUCCCCCCACCCUGCCAAGGCCACGGGGACCCCCCCCGGGUGUCCCUUCCCCGGUCCUUGUGACCCCCGGGACCAGCCGGGGGUGGUGAGAGCCCUUCUCGCCAUAAUUAUUGGGGUUUUUUCCCUUUUUCUUCUGUUUUGUAGGGAAAAACGGGACUUGCAGACGUCUGACAUCCAGCUGCUCCAUCACAGCUCCAUCCUGGGCGACACGCGGGAGCUGCGGCUCAUGGCCGGCAGCAGGGACGUGCUCCGGGACGUGGCCCGGCCGCUCUCCACGCUGCCCAUGUUCAACAUCCGCACGGGGCAGCGCUCCGACCCCAUGGGCAGCGCCCGAGCCCCGCUGCUCCCGCCCUGAGCGGACACCCGAGCCGCGGCGACACCGCCAGAGAUGGGGACAGCGUGUCCCUGGAGGGGGGGGGGUUUGGGGGGACAAAACCCCGGUAAGGAGGAGGAGGAGGAGGAGGAGUUGUGGGUCCGGCUGGGCUCUGCCCGGAGGAUUUGGGGUGUCCCCGCUUUCGGGUGCAUAAAUUUGAGUUUUCAGCGAUGAAAAAUGAGGCUUUUCUGCUUUAUUGACGGGGUAGGUUUGGGGGUGCUAAAACUCGCAACCGCCCCCCCCCCCCAAAAAAGGUCUGGGGUGAGUCCGAGUGACCCCCCCCGGCCCCGUGGGGGGACAAGGGCCGGGGAUUGGGAUAAAGGGGGGACAUGGGAUAAAGGGGGGACAGGGGAUUGGGAUAAAGGGAGGGACAGGGGAUUGGGGCCGGGGAUAUAAGGGGGGAAGGACAGGGGGGACAGAAGCGGAUGGGGCCGGGGAUUGGGAUGAAGGGGGGGACACCCUCCCAGAGCCCCGCCAUGGCCCCCCCAAACCCCCGCAGCUCACCUGGGUGUCCGUGCCCGCCUGG
rnacentral:lncRNA from 14 species